UCUCUCCAGGCGGCAGAAAAGCCGAUUCCAACGUCUUUCCUCGCAGCGCUCCCCGCGUCCCUGAAAGGCGGGCUGGGCCCGAUCACGUGACCGCCCACCCCGGGCGGAAGCAGCCGCCGCGAAGCCGGGCCGCGCGGCCGGAGGCGAGGGGGCGGGCGCUGUGCCCGGCUGAAAGAUGGCCGCCGCCGCCCGGCUGCCGCCGCCCCGCAGGUUCGCCUAGGCCUGCAGCGCCCGCCGCCCGCCGCCGCCGCUUACCAUGAGGCCGGUGAGUCGCCGCACGCUGGACUGGAUCUACUCAGCGUUGCUGCUCGCGGUUGUGUUACUCUCCUGGGGAUACGUCAUCUAUGCAUCGACAGUAGCUGCACGGCGACAGCUAAGGAAGGAAUACCCAAAGUCUUCGGGAUGAACGAAAAUUUGUAAUUCCUCUGGAUAUCAUUCUAUGCAAAUACAGUUCUUUACCUCGUGCUUAUCUGACGUGUGUCUAGAUGUAAAAUCCUCAAUACAAAGCUUCCAACUUUA